rnacentral:ncRNA from 2 species
CGAGCCUGCUCGGGAGAGUCCCCAACCCACCGUGAACUGCGGGAAAAGGGGCGCCGAAGGAGCAAACCCUCCCCGGAAUCUCUCAGGCAUCCGUACCGUGUGGGCUAG